UAAGUAUAUACUAAUUAAGUUCCUUUUUAAAAAAUUAAAAAGAAAUGGUUGGGGAAACUGGUUAGAUUCCAGUACAGUGCCGCUACGGUAAGUCCCAAACAUCAACAGGUGUUGGGAACAAGUCCGAUUAUCAAUCAUUUUAAUUUUCCCGAG
rfam:Parcubacteria bacterium GW2011_GWF2_38_8 TT09_C0012, whole genome shotgun sequence.